GCCCCCGUAGCUCAACGGACAGAGCGCCGGACUUCGAAUCCGUAGGCUGCGCGUUCGAGUCGCGCCGGGGGCG
rnacentral:tRNA from 1 species